UACAGAGGUCUCAAGCGUUGUUCGGAUUCAUUGGGCGUAAAGGGUGCGUAGGCGGCGCGGUAAGUCGGGUGUGAAAUCUUGGAGCUUAACUCCGAAACUGCAUUCGAUACUGCCGUGCUUGAGGACUGGAGAGGAGACUGGAAUUUACGGUGUAGCGGUGAAAUGCGUAGAUAUCGUAAGGAAGACCAGUGGCGAAGGCGGGUCUCUGGGCCACUACUGACGCUGAGGAGCGAAAGCGUGGGGAGCGAACAGG
rnacentral:rRNA from 1 species